GUACCAAAGCUAGAUUUAUGGGGAAGGUUUUAUUAAGUAACCUUAACCAAUUCAGGCUAAUUGGCAGAAUGAAUUAAGACCACACUCCACAGUGGACUGUACCACUUAGUAUGGUUCAUUACUAUAUUGUGGCCUACAUU